ACACUAAUGUUAACGGCGAUCUCAAUAUAAUUCUUUAUGCAUGACAACUAGAACUGGAGGAACUUCUUCUAUUAUUGGGGCUAAACCAACCUACGCAAAUCGGGAUGUCAUCUUGGAUGUUAAUGCUUUAUCUUCUGAUGCUUGCCCCUGCCAUGAGGAUAUAAAGAAAGGUACAAAUAUGAAUGCAGACCAGUGAGGGCACAGACCUAACCAUGUAGCCAGAGGACUCCUUAAGAUUGGGAAGAUUUAAGCCCUUCAUUAGAACCAAAGGAGCAGAUGUUCCCUCUCCUUCCUCAAGUAGGAGCCUGUGGAAGCGAGCUACAUCUAUCACUGGCUUGAAGUUUUUUGCUUACUUACUUUGAUCUAGCUAAAAUGCUCAACCGAUGGCAACAUCUUUGGAGAAAUGUGAACAGUGUGUUUCUGAUGGGCAAGAUGCCCAUUUCCCUUCCCUCCUUCUCAGUUUUCAC
rnacentral:lncRNA from 1 species